GGUCCUAUAGCUCAGUCGGUUAGAGCGCCAGCCUAAUAAGCUGGAAGUCGGCGGUUCGAGCCCGCCUAGGACCA